CCCCUCUGGCAAUGGGCAGAGACACCUUGGAGGUGGUGGUGUUCUUAGCAAUCAGGGGCAGAGAAGUUGACAGUCCUUUGUUCAUCCUAGCUUGAUGCAUAGCUUAGUGGCCAAAGCUGUCUUAUGCCUAGGACUCAUAA